CUCCUCUCAGGGUCUCACCUGGAGAGUUUACAGUACUCUACCAGUUUCGGCUAAGAGAGGGAGAGUCAGGCAGAGUCAUAACCAUUCCAUUCUUAGCUUGGGCAGUAGCUAGCGUGUGGCGGGCAAUCUGCUGCAAGU